rfam:Oryza sativa (indica cultivar-group) chromosome 11, whole genome shotgun sequence.
AAAAAGACAAACCCUGGUUUCCGUGCCCAACGUUUGACGGUCCGUCUUAUUUGAAAAAAUUAUGAAAAAAAUUAAAAAGACAAGUCACGCAUAAAAUAUUAAUCAUGUUUUAUCAUCUAACAACAAUAAAAAUACGAAUUAUAAAAAAAUUUCAUAUAAGACGGACAAUCAAAAUUGGACACGGAAAUCCAGGUUUGACUUUUUU